AGCAGAGUGGUGCAGCGGAAACGUGCUGGGCCCAUAACCCAGAGGUCGAUGGAUGGAAACCAUCCUCUGCUA
rnacentral:tRNA from 1 species